GAUCCUGGCUCAGGAUGAACGCUGGCGGCGUGCUUAACACAUGCAAGUCGAACGGAGUUUUAACGGAAGUUUCGGAUGGAAGUUUAAGAACUUAGUGGCGGACGGGUGAGUAACGCGUGGGUAACCUGCCUCAUACAGGGGGAUAACAGUUAGAAAUGACUGCUAACACCGCAUAAUAUAGCGAAACCGCAUGAUUUUGCUAUCAAAUAUUUAUAGGUAUGAGAUGGGCCCGCGUCUGAUUAGCUAGUUGGUGGGGUAAAAGCCUACCAAGGCGACGAUCAGUAGCCGGCUUGAGAGAGUGACCGGCCACAUUGGGACUGAGACACGGCCCAAACUCCUACGGGAGGCAGCAGUGGGGAAUAUUGGACAAUGGGGGAAACCCUGAUCCAGCGAACCGCCGCGUGAGUGAAGAAGUAUUUCGGUAUGUAAAGCUCUAUCAGCAGGGAAGAUAAUGACAGUACCUGACUAAGAAGCCCCGGCUAACUACGUGCCAGCCGCAGC
rnacentral:rRNA from 1 species